rnacentral:lncRNA from 1 species
AGUGCUGGGCGCAGCCGCGCCUCGCGCCUCCCGCCCCCCGGGGCUGCGGCGGGGACGCUUCUCUGGAGGGUGUGGCGGAAACUUGAGGCUUGGAGUCCGCGGGACCGGAAGGGGCUCCGUAGCUCGGGGCAGGGUGGGCGCGAGAGAGCCUAGAAGCCCAUGUAGCCGCGAAUCCCGCAGCCCCAGUACACCUCCCUCCGUGCCUCCCCGCCUUUUCUGCAGAGCUCCGCCCUGGAGUGAAGGAGGAGCCGUCACCUGGAGCUCCGAAAAAAGCAGAAGAAGGCGCUUUUUAUUUAGCCAGUGUGACCCCGCCAGGGCCUUCUCGGUUGGGUGAGCACUCUCUCUGACCAGGCCAUGAAAAGAAAAAUCUGUGCGAUGCCUCCCCACAUGUCACGGGACUCUGACUUGCCUUUGUCGUCAGAGUUUGCAGAACUUUGGGGGACCUGAGAGGGGAGUGCCCCCUGGACGGGCCACGGCUGUCUGUGGCUUAAGGGCUUUUGGAAGGGCGGAGAGAGGGAAACGGCGUCCUAGUGGCCUGCUUCAGGGCCACCCACGGGCCCUCCCCCAACCUCUCUCUGAUCCAACUUGUUUUUCCAGCCUAGUUGGAAACUUGUGGAUGCUGUGACCUCAAGAAGACUUGGCAUUUUAUUUGGAAGAUAGACAUCUAUUUGCAACUGUCCUGAGCCCCUAUUUUCCUCCCACCUUUCUUGGGGAAACUUGUUUUUAAGGGAUGCCACUGUUUUUGUAACAUGUUGCUCCUAGCUCUUAGCAUUCAUGGUACUGUUGUAACCGUCCAGUGGGUUCACUUUGUCUGCUAGAUAGAGCCGAUUUAUCAAGACGGGGAUUACAAUGGAGAAAGAGUAAUUCACGCAGAGCCGGCUUUGCAGAUAAAACUCUGCAAAGACAAUGUCUAGCACUUAUAUCUCCAGUAACUCCUGUCAAGGUUUAUUGUUGCUUGUUCAUCAUUGCAGUCCUGACUACAAGUGUGAUUGCACUUUCUAUUGUUUUGUCAGAAUUUCCUGAAAAGAUACAAAGGCCCUUCUGACCAUUGGAUUGGCCUUAGAAGAGAAUCAUCCCAUCGCAUUUGGAAAUGGACAGACAACAUGGAAUAUAAUAACAUGCUUGCUAUCAGAGGAAGUGGAGAAUGUGCCUUCCUGAAUGACAAUGGAGUCAACAGUGGCAGAAUCUACAUGAACAGAAAAUGGAUUUGUAGCAAGCCAAACAAUUAUGUCUACAGUUGCCAGUUAUGUCCCCACUGGGAUACUACCUAGUAGAGCUGUGAGAAGAGGGCCACCAUCCUCCAGACUCCAGAAUGGUGGAAUCAGCAGCAGCUUCCACCAUGCCCCUGGAAAAACUGCAAGUAACAGACCUGCACAUGUAUCCCCUACAUCUAAAAUAAAAGUUGGAAAAAAUGGAACUUUGAUGUUAAGAUGCACUGAUACAAAACUUAAAUUUUGGUCUCCUACAUUAAAACAAUAUGAGUCUCUUAAAAUAUUGAUUUGUUCUUAGUAAGAUUACAAGAGGCUUUGAUUUUUAAUUCUGCAAUGUUUCCUUAACAGCCAUUCUGAAUUACAAACUAAUUCCUAUUUCUGCCACAUUCCUUCCUGAGAACUGUCUAGUCCUGGUUUGGGAUUUAUCUUAAAGGUCUAGAAAGGCAACAUUUUACUUCAGCAAAACUUGAUUCUAUAUUGUUGUUUUUUCUUAAUGUGUCAAAAUUGUUUUGUUACUAGGAUUUCCUAUGUUGUUAUUAAAUGUAUUCCCCUGAUCAAGGUCACUGGCCUAGAAAACAAAGAUUCUGUGUUUUACCAAGAUAAUUCCCAGUGCUUCAUGGUGUCUUUAUUAGGCUUUGACUGCUUAGGGAAACUGAGCCUUAAAAGGGUAAAAGUUUUUCCAUCCAUGUAACUUUCUGAGGUCUUUAGGUUGUCACUCUGAUUAAAUGAGUAGUAUUCUUAGCAGUGACUUAUUAUCUGUUGAAGGAAGUAUUUUAAGCUUUUUGACAUCUUUGGCAGGUUUCUCUAGAAUCCAAAUCCUAAAUUAAGCCUUUUGGCCUAAAAAUGACUGGGAUUUUUCCAGGUGGACCCCCUAGAUAUGCUCCUCCAAAGGCUUGUCUUUCUUGUAGAGUUAUUAAAUGAUUAGGCUUAUUUGGCAAAUACUGCUAGAAGCAUUGUCAAAUAAGAAAUGGUGUUUUACCUUUCUUUAAGCUGUGUUUGUGUAAGUUCAUCAUUUAUAGAAAUGUGAAAUUUUAUGAGAUUCCUAAGAUACUGACAUGCUGAGAUACCUGUAAUAAUUGCAAUUUUUAUGUUGGAUGAUUGUAUGCCACAGAAGCACUUAAAUUUCCUGGUUAAUUGGUAACGUUAAUCAGAUCUUUACCUAUGGCUGUUCUGGGUUUUUGUCAUUCACAGUUAUUAUUUUAAUUUCUUCUUUGGAAGCGUUCGCAAUCAGCUAUAGUCCAAAAUUGCUAAUUAAGAUCAAGCAAAACAAAAUUAAUUACGUAAAAUUAAUUUAUAAGGAUGUUUUUAUGACGUAAAUGUUUUAUUUUCCAGAGCCAAGGAAAUUUUCUGUCACAAGCUAUCUACCGUUUGCAAUAAUUUGAUAAAUAAUCCUUUGUGAAC